rnacentral:sRNA from 1 species
CACAUCAUCCCAACACCUCUGCGAGCUCC